UCUAGAGUUGAAGACACUCUUCAACCUCUCUCUCUCUCUCUCCAUUCUCGGCUAGGAACCAAGAAAACCAACCCCCAUUUUAGCCUUCCCAAAAAAUAAUUCCGUGGUGUUAAUCAACUAAUUAGAGGUCCCUAAAUAACGUGGAAGCAUCGUUGGAGCGAUCAAGUUUUUCAUUUAAGAGAUUUGCAAACCCUAGCUAUUUGGUGGAAGUGAAGAACAAAGACCUUGGGGAGCCCGAGGCGUAGAUUGGGUAUUUGCUUAAGAUUGGCCAUCUUGGAGUGCGUACGAGGUACAGACGCACAGUUUGGUAAUCCACCGGUUUAGGACACCCUCUCUUGCUGUUAGAGUGCUCUUCUCCUUCCAGAGCAUAUCUUUUGGUAUAUAUUUUUGUUCGCUAUGUAUGUAUAUAUAUUCGUUCAGGGGUACGGCGGGCCCCUGUCCCGCCAUAUGACUCAUUUGGUCUGUUUAGAGGUUUGUAGACGUAUUCGUGGGUGUGUGUGCCUACUUCUGUACAGGUGUUUGUAUGAUCUCUUUCGUUAUGGCAGCCUUGUCGGCUUUUGACAUAUUUGGCAGCCUUGUCGGCUUUUGACAUAUUUGACAGCCUUGUCGGCUGUUGACACAUUUGAUAGCCUUGCCGGCUUUUCGAUAUAUGCAUAUGUAUAUGU